AUAGGGCCUUUCACCAGUGUGAACUCUCUGGUGUAAAAUGAGGCUGGAUCUUUGGCUAAAAGAUUUCCCACAUUCUGUGCACUCACAGCCUUUCACCAGUGUGAACUCUCUGAUGUGCAGUAAGGCCAGAGAUUUGGCUAAAAACCUUCCCACAUUCAGUGCACUUAUAAGGCCUUUCUCCAGUGUGGAUUCUCCAAUGCCGAGCAAGUGUGAUUUUGCAGCUGAAGCAUUUCCCACAUUCACUACACUUAUAAGGCUUUGCCCCAGUGUGAAUUCUCUGGUGUUCAAUAAGGCCAUAGCUUUGUCUAAAGGAUUUCCCACAUUCACUGCAUUCAUAAGGCCUGGCUCCACUGGGAACUCUCGGGUGUAUAAUCAUGCUGGAAUUCUGGCUAAAUAAUUUCGCACAUUUGCUGCACUCCAGUGUGGACUUUCUCCAGUGUGGACUCUCUGGUGCUGAAUGAGUGUGUGUUUGCUGCUAUAGGCUUUCCCACAUUCACUGCAUCUGUAAGCCCUUUCUCCAGUGUGAAGGUUUUUAUGCCUAACAAGGUGGGUGCUUCUGCUGUAGGCUUUUCCACAUUCACUGCACCCAUAAGGCCUCUCUCCAGCGUGAACUUUCUUGUGUUGAACAAGAUGGGAGCUUUUUCUGUAGGCUUUCCCACAUUCGCUGCACCCGUAAGGCUUUAAACCCAUGUGAACUCUCUGGUGUACAGUAAGGCUAGAGUUAUGACUGAAGAAUUUCCCACAUUCACUGCAUUUGUAAGGUCUUUCUCUGCUGUGGACUCUCUGGUGCUCACAAAGCCUAUUUCUGUGGCUAAAGGCUUUCCCACAUUCACUGCACCUGUGAUACCCUUCUCCAAUGUGAAAGGCCUCCUUG
rnacentral:lncRNA from 1 species